rnacentral:rRNA from 1 species
UGGGGAAUCUUAGACAAUGGGCGCAAGCCUGAUCUAGCCAUGCCGCGUGAGCGAUGAAGGCCUUAGGGUUGUAAAGCUCUUUCAGUGGGGAAGAUAAUGACUGUACCCACAGAAGAAGCCCCGGCUAACUCCGUGCCAGCAGCCGCGGUAAUACGGAGGGGGCUAGCGUUGUUCGGAAUUACUGGGCGUAAAGCGCACGUAGGCGGACCGGAAAGUCAGAGGUGAAAUCCCAGGGCUCAACCUUGGAACUGCCUUUGAAACUCCUGGUCUUGAG